rnacentral:tRNA from 1 species
GCUCAGGUGGCAUAAUGGUUAAGUGCUCGGCUGCAAGCCAAAAAGUUGGUGGUUCAAAUCCACCCAGUGGCU